rnacentral:rRNA from 1 species
GGUCUAUGAUUUCUGACGCACGGGUGCGUACACGUAUGCAACCUACCCUUUACAGGAGUAUAGCUCGGGGAAACUCGAAUUAAUGCUCCAUGAAAUAGUUGAAUGGCAUCAUUUGAUUAUUAAAGCUGAGGUGGUAAAGGAUGGGCAUGCGUCUGAUUAGCUAGUUGGUAGUGUAACGGACUACCAAGGCGAUGAUCAGUAGGGGAACUGAGAGGUUGAUCCCCCACACUGGCACUGAGAUACGGGCCAGACUCCUACGGGAGGCAGCAGUAGGGAAUAUUGGUCAAUGGGUGAGAGCCUGAACCAGCCAUGCCGCGUGCAGGAAGACGGCCUUCUGGGUUGUAAACUGCUUUUGCCAGGGGCUAAAAAGUCCAUGCGUGGAAAUUGAAAGUACCUGGUGAAUAAGCCACGGCUAACUACGUGCCAGCAGCCGCGGUUAAUACGUAGGUGGCAAGCGUUGUCCCGGAUUUAUUGGGUUUAAAGGGUGCGUAAGCCGGCUCUGUAAGUCAGUGCUGAAAUAUNCCCGGC